rnacentral:rRNA from 1 species
GUGUAAGGCUGCGUUAAGCCUCGGGGAGUUGUCAAUUGAGCGUUGAUCCGAGGAUGUCCGAAUGGGGAAACCCACCUAUCGUUAUGGGUAGGUACCCACUGGUGAAUUCAUAGCUGGUGUGGGGGUUAUACGUGGGGAAGUGAAACAUCUUAGUACCUGCAGGAGGAGAAAAUAAUAAUGAUUCUGCUAGUAGCGGCGAGCGAACGUGGAUGAGGCUAAACCGUGUGUAUGUGAUACCUGGUAGGGGUUGUGCAUGCGGUGUUGUGGGGCCAUGAUUUUUUGUAUCUACCAGUACAAAGCGCGCAGUGUGUUGUUAGGUGAAGUGGGUUGGAAUGCCCGGCCGUAGAAGGUGAGAGCCCUGUAGGUGAAGAUAGUAUGCUGUGUGUGUUGUGGUGCCCGAGUAGCAGCGGGCUCGUGGAAUCUGCUGUGAAUCUGCCGGGACCACCCGGUAAGCCUAAAUACUCAGUGUGACCGAUAGUGUAUGAGUACCGUGAGGGAAUGGUGAAAAGUACCCCGGGAGGGGAGUGAAAUAGUUCCUGAAACCAUGUGUCUACAAUCCGUCAGAGCCUCUUUUGUUGGGUGAUGGCGUGCCUUUUGAAGAAUGAGCCUGCGAGUCAGCGGCAUGUCGCGAGGUUAACCCGUGUGGGGUAGCCGUAGGGAAACCGAAUCCUAACUAGGGUGUUUCAGUGGCAUGUUCUGGACCCGAAGCGGGGUGAUCUACCCAUGGCCAGUGUGAAGCGAUGGUAAGACGUCGUGGAGGCGCGAACCCACGUAGGUUGAAAACUGCGGGGAUGAGUUGUGGGUAGGGGUGAAAGGCCAAUCAAACUCCGUGAUAGCUGGUUCUCCCCGAAAUGCAUUUAGGUGCAGCGUCGUAGUAACUUGGUGGAGGUAGAGCUACUGGUUGGUUGAGCGGGACUAUCAUCUUAGCAACAUCAGCCAAACUCCGAAUGCCAUCAAUGUGUUCUACGGCAGUGAGACUGUGGGGGAUAAGCUUCAUAGUCGAGAGGGAAACAGCCCAGAUCGCCGGUUAAGGCCCCUAAGGGUGUGCUAAGUGGAAAAGGAUGUAAGAUCGCGAAGACAGCCAGGAGGUUGGCUUAGAAGCAGCCAUCCUUGAAAGAGUGCGUAAUAGCUCACUGGUCGAGUGGUUUUGCGCCGACAAUGUAGUGGGGCUCAAGCACACCGCCGAAGCCGCGGCAAAUAUUUUUGAUAUUUGGGUAGGGGAGCGUCGUGCAUGGGUUGAAGCGUUACCGUGAGGAGGCGUGGACUGUGUGCGAGUGAGAAUGCAGGCAUGAGUAACGAAUUGAACAGUGAGAAUCUGUUCCGCCGGAUGACUAAGGGUUCCUGGGUCAAGUUCGUCUUCCCAGGGUGAGUCGGGACCUAAGGCGAGGCCGACAGGCGUAGUCGAUGGACAACCAGUUGAUAUUCUGGUACCCGUAUAUGCGCGCCCGUGGUAAAGCAUUGAUACUAACCACCCACAAGCAUGUGCCUUUUAUCCUUCGGGAUUGUUGGUGUGUGUGCGUGCGUGGGGCCUGAAAUGUGGUCCAAGCGAUGGGGUGACACAGGGAGGUAGCCUUGCCACUUAUUGGAUUGUUGGUGUAAGCGUGCAAGCCGAGUGAUAGGUAAAUCCGUCGCUCAAUAGGCUUAGGCGUGAUGCGUAGCCUUUAUUGGUGAAGUUGGUGAUCCUGUACUGUCGAGAAAAGCCUCUAGCGAUGUGUGUAUAUGGCCCGUACCCUAAACCGACACAGGUAGUCAGGUUGAAAAUACUAAGGCGUUCGGGUGAACUGUGGUUAAGGAAUUCGGCAAAAUGCCCCCGUAACUUCGGAAGAAGGGGGACCCACCAAAGUGAGCAUACUUGCUAUGUGAGCUUGGGUGGGUCGCAGAGAAUAGAGGGAAGCGACUGUUUAUCAAAAACACAGGUCCAUGCGAAGACGUUAAGUUGAGGUAUAUGGACUGACGCCUGCCCGGUGCUGGAAGGUUAAGAGGACCGGUUAGAGACUUUCGGGUUUCGAAGCUGAGAAUUUAAGCCCCAGUAAACGGCGGUGGUAACUAUAACCAUCCUAAGGUAGCGAAAUUCCUUGUCGGGUAAGUUCCGACCUGCACGAAUGGCGUAACGACUUCUCUGCUGUCUCAACCACAGGCCCGGUGAAAUUGCACUACGAGUAAAGAUGCUCGUUACGCGCGGCAGGACGAAAAGACCCCGGGACCUUCACUAUAGCUUGGUAUUGGUGUUCGGUUCGGUUUGUGUAGGAUAGGUGGGAGACUGUGAAGCUGCAACGCUAGUUGUGGUGGAGUCGUUGUUGAAAUACCACUCUGAUCGGAUUGGAUACCUGAACCUUGGCCCAUGAUCUGGGUUGGGGACAGUGCCUGGUGGGUAGUUUAACUGGGGCGGUUGCCUCCUAAAAUGUAACGGAGGCGCCCAAAGGUUCCCUCAGCCUGGUUGGCAAUCAGGUGGUGAGUGUAAGUGCACAAGGGAGCUUGACUGUGAGACUGACAGGUCGAGCAGGGACGAAAGUCGGGACUAGUGAUCCGGCACCUACUUGUGGAAGUGGUGUCGCUCAACGGAUAAAAGGUACCCCGGGGAUAACAGGCUGAUCUUCCCCAAGAGUCCAUAUCGACGGGAUGGUUUGGCACCUCGAUGUCGGCUCGUCGCAUCCUGGGGCUGGAGUAGGUCCCAAGGGUUGGGCUGUUCGCCCAUUAAAGCGGCACGCGAGCUGGGUUCAGAACGUCGUGAGACAGUUCGGUCUCUAUCCGCCGCGCGCGUUGAAACUUGAAGAAGGCUGUCCCUAGUACGAGAGGACCGGGACGGACGUACCUCUGGUGUGCCAGUUGUUCCGCCAGGAGCAUUGCUGGUUGGCUACGUACGGAAGGGAUAACCGCUGAAAGCAUCUAAGCGGGAAGCCUGUUUUAAGAUGAGGUUUCUGUUGAGGUUCCCUAGAGACUAUAGGGUUGAUAGGCCAGACCUGUACGCAUUGUAAAAUGUUAAGGCUACUGGUACUAAUACACCAACAAACAAACACAC